rnacentral:rRNA from 1 species
GACGAACGCUGGCGGCGUGCUUAACACAUGCAAGUCGAACGGAAAGGCCUGUCCUUCCUUGUGUUGGACGGGUACUCGAGUGGCGAACGGGUGAGUAACACGUGAGUGAUCUGCCCCCAACUUGGGUAUAAGCCUGGGAAACUGGGUCUAAUUCCCGAUAGGACUGCAGGGUGGUGCCUGUGGUGGAAAACGAUUUUCUAGUGGUUGGGGAUGAGCUCGCGGCCUAUCAGCUUGUUGGUGGGGUAAUGGCCUACCAAGGCGGCGACGAGUAGCCGGCCUGAGAGGGUGGACGGCCACAUUGGGACUGAGAUACGGCCCAGACUCCUACGGGAGGCAGCAGUGGGGAAUAUUGCACAAUGGGCGGAAGCCUGAUGCAGCGACGCCGCGUGGGGGAUGACGGCCUUCGGGUUGUAAACUCCUUUCGACCGCGAGGAAGCCGCCUGGUUGGAAGGGUGGUGACGGUAGUGGUAGAAGAAGCACCGGCUAACUACGUG